AUUUGGUUAGCUCAGUUGGUAGAGCACUUCACUGGAAAUGGAGAGGUCCCUGGUUUCGAUACUAGGACCAGGCG
rnacentral:tRNA from 2 species